rnacentral:lncRNA from 1 species
UAAUGUGAAAGUCGGAAUCGGCUUCGACGAGCACUAAAUCGAAAAGAAAGAGACUAGAAAAGAUAAAUCCAGUGUAGAUUGUUCAACAAAGUUAUUUUGUGGAAGAGGAAGAUACAGAUGAAUGGCAUUCUCUGCAACUUUUCGUUGUUCAUCUUCUCUAUGUCGUCCUCUGAAUAAUUCAACAAUUUCACGCGUUUUGCCUCAGUCAUCUUCUUUACUCUCCUUUCGAUCUUCGCCUUCACUUUUUAAUCGCAACAAGUAUUUGUCUAUUCGAUCUGCAACACUUGAAGGCGAUCUUUUACAUGCUUGACUUUUGGAUUAAUAGCCUAAUAGCAAGAAAAUCUGUUGAAGAACUCGACUAUUUUACCAGAGAGAGAGAAAGAGAGAAAGAGCAAAAGCGAAUUGAAAAUGAAAGAGAAAGAGGGCGGGGAGAAAAU